UUGCCUCAGUAACGGCGAGUGAAGCGGCAAUAGCUCAAAUUUGAAAUCUGGCUCUUUCAGAGUCCGAGUUGUAAUUUGUAGAGGAUGCUUCGGCUUACGUCUCGGUCUAAGUUCCUUGGAACAGGACGUCACAGAGGGUGAGAAUCCCGUUUGUGGCCGUGACUUCCGCCAUGUGAAGCUCCUUCGACGAGUCGAGUUGUUUGGGAAUGCAGCUCUAAAUGGGAGGUAUAUUUCUUCUAAAGCUAAAUACCGGCCAGAGACCGAUAGCGCACAAGUAGAGUGAUCGAAAGAUGAAAAGCACUUUGGAAAGAGAGUUAAAAAGUACGUGAAAUUGUUGAAAGGGAAGCGCUUGCGACCAGACUUGCCCGCGGAUGCUCAACCGGUCCUUCGGCCGGUGCACUCUUCCGCGGUCAGGCCAGCAUCAGUUCGAGCGGUCGGAUAAAGGCCUUGGGAAUGUGGCUCUCUUUGGGGAGUGUUAUAGCCCUUGGUGCAAUACGGCCCGCCUGGACUGAGGCCCGCGCUUCGGCUAGGAUGCUGGCGUAAUGGUCGUAAGCGGCCCGUCUUGAAACACGGACCAAGGAGUCUAACAUCUAUGCGAGUGUUUGGGUGUCAAACCCGUGCGCGAAAUGAAAGUGAACGGAGGUGGGAACCUUAGGGUGCACCAUCGACCGAUCCUGAUGUCUUCGGAUGGAUUUGAGUAAGAGCAUAGCUGUUGGGACCCGAAAGAUGGUGAACUAUGCCUGAAUAGGGUGAAGCCAGAGGAAACUCUGGUGGAGGCUCGCAGCGGUUCUGACGUGCAAAUCGAUCGUCAAAUUUGGGUAUAGGGGCGAAAGACUAAUC
rnacentral:rRNA from 1 species